GACGAACGCUGGCGGCGUGCUUAACACAUGCAAGUCGAGCGGAAAGGCCACUUCGGUGGUACUCGAGCGGCGAACGGGUGAGUAACACGUGAGUAAUCUGCCCCUGGCUUCGGGAUAGCCACCGGAAACGGUGAUUAAUACCGAAUAUGACAUGGACUCGCAUGGGUUUGUGUGGAAAGUUUUUCGGCCAGGGAUGUGCUCGCGGCCUAUCAGCUUGAUGGUGAGGUAAUGGCUCACCAUGGCUUCGACGGGUAGCCGGCCUGAGAGGGUGACCGGCCACACUGGGACUGAGACACGGCCCAGACUCCUACGGGAGGCAGCAGUGGGGAAUAUUGGACAAUGGGCGGAAGCCUGAUCCAGCAACGCCGCGUGAGGGAUGACGGCCUUCGGGUUGUAAACCUCUUUCAGUACCGACGAAGCGCAAGUGACGGUAGGUACAGAAGAAGCACCGGCCAACUACGUGCCAGCAGCCGCGGUAACAC
rnacentral:rRNA from 1 species